GACGAACGCUGGCGGCGUGCUUAACACAUGCAAGUCGAACGGAAAGGCCCUGCUUUUCUGGGGUGCUCGAGUGGCGAACGGGUGAGUAACACGUGAGUAACCUGCCCUUUACUUUGGGAUAACUUCAGGAAACUGGGUCUAAUACCGGAUAGGAGCUCCUGCUGCAUGGUGGGGGGUGGAACGUUUCGGCGGUUGGGGAUGGUCUCGCGGCUUAUCAGCUUGUUGGUGGGGUAGUGGCUUACCAAGGCGUUGACGGGUAGCCGGCCUGAGAGGGUGAACGGCCACAUUGGGACUGAGAUACGGCCCAGACUCCUACGGGAGGCAGCAGUGGGGAAUAUUGCACAAUGGGCGGAAGCCUGAUGCAGCAACGCCGCGUGCGGGAUGACGGCCUUCGGGUUGUAAACCGCUUUCGCCUGGGACGAAGCGUGAGUGACGGUAAUGGGUAAAGAAGCACCGGCUAACUACGUG
rnacentral:rRNA from 1 species